CUCUCCUCCCACCACCUCAGUGACUCUAUGUGAGCAUGUCCUCAGUACAGACUCGGUCGUUCUGUUGGCGGUUGACAGUUAUGGCAUUGCAGAUUGCCUCUGCAAUACUGUUGCAGGGGCUGAAGAUGAGGGAGCAAUGUGACCCAUAAUAUAUUGGUCAACAUACUACCUAAUAUUGCUUCAAAGGGUUUUUGUUUUUACAUAAGAGGGAAGCUAAGAACUCAGCAAGAAGGGAGAAGCGUCGUAUGGUGAAGAUGUCUACAUCAUUUGACCAAUCUCAGAGAAACAAGUAGCCAAUCUGCUUAUCUACGCAUCACAUCUGAUAGCUUCCGAGAACUGGUGCUGUUA